rnacentral:rRNA from 1 species
UCACUUAUAGAUGGAUCCGCGCUGCAUUAGCUAGUAGGUAAGGUAACGGCUUAACAAGGCAACGAUGCAUAGCCGACCUGAGAGGGUGAUCGGCCACACUGGAACUGAGACUCUGUCCAGACUCCUACGGGAGGCAGCAGUUCUUCCGCAAUGGGCGAAGCCUGACGGAGCAACGCCGCGUGAGUGAUGAAGGCUUCGGUC